rnacentral:rRNA from 1 species
UACGGGGGGGGCAAGCGUUGUCCGGAAUUAUUGGGCGUAAAGGGCUCGUAGGCGGUCCGUUGCGUCGGGAGUGAAAACUCAGGGCUUAACCCUGAGCCUGCUUCCGAUACGGGCAGACUAGAGGUAUGCAGGGGAGAACGGAAUUCCUGGUGUAGCGGUGAAAUGCGCAGAUAUCAGGAGGAACACCGGUGGCGAAGGCGGUUCUCUGGGCAUUACCUGACGCUGAGGAGCGAAAGUGUGGGGAGCGAACAGG